UACGUAGGGUGCGAGCGUUGUCCGGAAUUAUUGGGCGUAAAGGGCUCGUAGGCGGUUUGUCGCGUCGGGAGUGAAAACCUCGGGCUUAACUCGGGGCUUGCUUUCGAUACGGGCAGACUAGAGGUAUGCAGGGGAGAACGGAAUUCCUGGUGUAGCGGUGAAAUGCGCAGAUAUCAGGAGGAACACCGGUGGCGAAGGCGGUUCUCUGGGAAUAUCCUGACGCUGAGGAGCGAAAGUGUGGGGAGCGAACAGG
rnacentral:rRNA from 1 species